GGCAAGAUGGCCGAGUGGUUAAGGCGGAAGACUCAAGGGUUCUCCUUUACCCGUUUACCGGGCAGCAUUCUUCUGGAGCAAUCCGCGUGGGUUCGAAUCCCACUCUUGUCA
rnacentral:tRNA from 1 species